AGAAAAAUAAGCUAUAUUAAGCUAAUGGGCCCAUACCUCAUAUAAGAGAUUUCUCUUUUUCUA
rnacentral:tRNA from 1 species